CUCUGAGAUUUUAGCUUUAGAUUUGCCUCUUAAUAUUCUCAUGUAAGUUUUACUUUUUUUCAUGUUUUUUUCCUUCGUUUCAUUAGAUAAGAACUAAAAGUCAGAAUGGAAUAUAUUUAUUUCACAGAAACAAUGCAGGAAUGUACUCUCAGAACUUGGAAUUCUCCGAAGACAAAAUCGACAUUGCCCAGAAAAUCAC
rnacentral:lncRNA from 1 species